AGCAAAUCCCCGUUCGAACUGUUCCCAAAUCGAUGGUCAUCGGUCUCACGAACGAAGGCCUCGAACAGUUGAAAGGGGAAGUUAGCAUUAAAUCGAGGCCACAUGGUUGGAGAGGCCAUAGCGUCAUGCUGAAAUUCGGUGGUCGUUUGUCUUGGAGGAGAGGGCAUAGGUUGAUUGCGAACCGGCGAGGGAUCCGCAUGAACCGUUUCUGGAGAAGGAGACCGGGCAUGAGUAGGCUCGGGGGUCGAGGAAGGAGCAGAGGUUGAACCUGGCUGGCUGUCUGAAGGUUGUUUUCUUUUUCG
rnacentral:lncRNA from 1 species